CCAUAAAUCGCAAUUGAUAGCGCAUUGGACUUAUAAUUCAAAGGUUGUGGGUUUGAAUCCCACCUAGCACGG